GAAACUCAAACCUACAUCACCAGCUGAUAGAGUCACACACCCUGUAUCCUCAAAAUCCUUGUUAUUUAUUUCUGGGAGUUCCCAAAUGGGUGUCUCAUGUGUGUCCCCAGUCCAGUCAUUCAGCUACAGCCAGUGUGAGGAGCCUUCGACUUCCCAUUUCUUGUGCCCAAGAGCCCCUUGAAGAGGCACCACUGCUGGAACCGCUCACAUCUGGCAUGCCAGUGUCCCUCCAGGGGUGCUACCUCCCAAAGCUUCCAAAGCUGCCAGGCCUCUAGGCAAAGGUGUUCUUUGUUCUGAAGAGGAGAAACAGUAAAAAAUUUGCCAAGGACCCAAGAUAGAAGACUGUGGGCCCAGAUCCUAAUGUAAAAGAAGCCUGCCUCAACUUAAUUUUCCUGGACAGCAAGAGCUAUGAAAAUGAA